rnacentral:rRNA from 1 species
AACGAACGCUGGCGGCAGGCCUAACACAUGCAAGUCGAGCGAGAUCUUCGGGUCUAGCGGCGGACGGGUGAGUAACGCGUGGGAAUAUGCCUCUUGGUACGGAAUAGCUUCGGGAAACUGGGAGUAAUACCGUAUGUGCCCUUUGGGGGAAAGAUUUAUCGCCAAGAGAUUAGCCCGCGUUGGAUUAGGUAGUUGGUGGGGUAAUGGCCUACCAAGCCGACGAUCCAUAGCUGGUUUGAGAGGAUGAUCAGCCACACUGGGACUGAGACACGGCCCAGACUCCUACGGGAAGCAGCAGUGGGGAAUCUUAGACAAUGGGGGCAACCCUGAUCUAGCCAUGCCGCGUGAGUGAUGAAGGCCUUAGGGUUGUAAAGCUCUUUCAGCUGGGAAGAUAAUGACGGUACCAGCAGAAGAAGCCCCGGCUAACUCCGUG